GCCCCCUUCGUCUAGAGGACUAGGACACCACCCUUUCAAGGUGGCGACACGGGUUCGAAUCCCGUAGGGGGCA
rnacentral:tRNA from 1 species